rnacentral:rRNA from 1 species
CAUGGCAAUUGGGAUAAAGCCUAGGUGGUAAAGGAUGGGCAUGCGUGACAUUAGCUUGUUGGUGAGGUAACGGCUCACCAAGGCUGCGAUGUCUAGGGGUUCUGAGAGGAAGAUCCCCCACACUGGUACUGAGACAUGGACCAGACUCCUACGGGAGGCAGCAGUGAGGAAUAUUGGUCAAUGGGCGAGAGCCUGAACCAGCCAUCCCGCGUGCAGGAAGAAUGCCCUAUGGGUUGUAAACUGCUUUUUCGCAUGAAGAACACCCCUGACGAGUCGGGGGCUGACGGUAAUGCGUGAAUAAGCACCGGCUAACUCCGUGCCAGCAGCCGCGGUAAUACGGAGGGUGCAAGCGUUAUCCGGAUUUAUUGGGUUUAAAGGGUGCGUAGGCGGCUAUUUAAGUCAGUGGUGAAAUCCUGCAGCUCAACUGUAGAACAGCCAUUGAAACUGAAUAGCUUGAGUGAUCUUGAGGUAGGCGGAAUGUGUAGUGUAGCGGUGAAAUGCUUAGAUAUUACACAGAACACCGAUUGCGAAGGCAGCUUACCAAGGGUUUACUGACGCUGAUGCACGAAAGCGUGGGGAUCAAACAGGAUUAGAUACCCUGGUAGUCCACGCCGUAAACGAUGAUAACUCGCUGUUGGCGAUACACAGUCAGCGGCUUAGCGAAAGCGUUAAGUUAUCCACCUGGGGAGUACGCUCGCAAGAGUGAAACUCAAAGGAAUUGACGG